rnacentral:miRNA from 14 species
GUCUUUCUGUGGAUGCCUAACAGCAGGAGCAGGGCCUGUCCUUGAUUCUGCUGCCAGCCUUUGGGACCCUUUCCCC